rnacentral:lncRNA from 1 species
GGCCCCUCCCUCACUCUUCAAUAUUACAAUGUUGCACUGUUUAACCUACGAAAAUGUCCAAGCAAAUACAUUGUCUUCUUUCCUAACAGAAGCACAAAUACUUCCUUGAUUCAAAAUUUGCAAAGCUCAAAAUAAUGAAACGAAAAUGAAGAAAAAAAGAUGAUCGUCAUACUAUGCCAUAUGCUGGUGCUCGUUUCAACUUUUGAAUCAUCGC